rnacentral:rRNA from 1 species
GAGUUUGAUCAUGGUUCAGGAUUAACGCUGGCGGCGUGCCUGACACAUGCAAGUCGAACGAGGCCGCAAGGCCUAGUGGCGGACGGGUGAGUAACACGUGACCAACCAACCUCGAAGUUGGGAAUAGCUCUGCGAAAGCAGGGGUAAUACCGAAUGUGGCCCGGAGCGGACAUCCGCACCGGUCUAAAGAUUUAUCGCUUCGAGACGGGGUCGCGGCCUAUUAGCUUGUUGGUGGGGUAACGGCCUAACAAGGCGAUGAUGGGUAGCUGGUCUGAGAGGACGACCAGCCACACUGGGACUGAGACACGGCCCAGACUCCUACGGGAGGCAGCAGUGAGGAAUCUUCCGCAAUGGGCGAAAGCCUGACGGAGCAACGCCGCGUGUGGGAUGAAGACUUUAGGGUUGUAAACCACUGUCGGAGGGGACGAUCGUGACGGUACCCUCCAAGAAAGCCCCGGCUAACUACGUGCCAGCAGCCGCGGUAAUACGUAGGGGGCGAGCGUUAUCCGGAUUUACUGGGCGUAAAGCGCGUUAAGGCGGAUGGCCAAGUUGGCGGUGAAAUUUCGGGGCUCAACC